GCUUAAAGAGUAUUAAUUUUAAGUGUAACCUGCUCAAUGAAUAAAUUUAAAUAGCUGCAGUAAUUUGACUGUACUAAGGUAGCAUAAUAAUUUGUCUUUUAAUUGAAGACUGGAAUGAAGGGUUGAACAUAAAAAAUUCUGUCUCUAUUUUUAUUUUUGAAAUUGAUUUUUAUGUAAAAAAGCAUAAAUUAAAUAAAGGGACGAAAAGACCCUAUCAAGUUUUAUAUAUAAAUUAAUUUAUCUCUAAUUAAUUUAUAUGUUUGUUUGGGGCGAACUAAAAAUAAUAAACUUUUUAAAAAUUUAAUAACCUUUACGUUUAUAUUUUCUCUAAAAUUUUUAAAUUACUAAUUACUGUAGGGGUAACAGCAUAAUUUUUUUUACAAGUACAUAUUGUAAAAAAAGUUUAUGACCUCGAUGUUGGGUUAAUUUAACCUAAAAAUGAAUAAGUUUUUAAGGUGUGUCUGUUCGACGCUUAAAAUAUUACA
rnacentral:rRNA from 1 species